ACCUAGCUGUCUGAAAGUCAUUGCAGGAUAGAGCAUGAGACUCUUAACCUCAGGGUCAUGGGUUCGACCCCCACAUUGGGUG